ACUACCUUAUUGCGGGCAGCAGUAUAGGUGGGUUGAUAAUGCUAGAAACAUUGGAGAACUUUGCAGCUGAAUAAAAAACAAGAAUGUUUGCCCUCGAUAGGUUUAGAGAUGUUGUCAACGAGCAGCUAACUGCUGCAGCUGAGGAAAUAUUUGACGAUUUUACAAGAACUAUUGUCGAGGACGAGGCGGAAAUCGACCAUCAGCGCAGAAAGCUGGAUAUUGGAAACCUCCCAUCCACUUACACAGAAUAGACAUCCCGCUGCAACAUGUGUGUAAGGAGGAGAAGGUUGAACCUGAGCAGCAGCUCUGCCAUCAGGAGAGGAAGUCCAGUCUGGACCAGGAGGAUCCAGAGCCUCCACAGAUAAAGGAGGAGCAGUUCGUACAGGAGGAGACUGACACGUUGAUGUUGACUCCUACUCAGGAGGAAGAUGUCCCGCAGCAGCAUGUGUGUAGGGAGGAGGAGGUUGAACCUGAGCAGCAGCUCUGCCACCAGGAGAGGAAGUCCAGUCUGGACCAGGAGGAUCCAGAGCCUCCACAGAUGAAAGAGGAGCAGGAGGAAGAGCAGCUCAAACAGGAGGAGACUGACACGUUGGUGUUGAUUCCUACUCAGGAGGAAAGAGAGCAGAGUGAAGCAGAAGGAGAAAAUGAACACCAGCUCCUUUCUCACAACUCUCGUAAACCUCAUCCACAUGCAGAUUCUGACAGAAACUCUUCAGCCUUAAUUAACAGGGGUAUUGAAAAAAGAUCACACAGGCAUAGAGACAGCAGGGGGAGACGGAGUCAUGGUGUGUGUGGCUAACAGACUCAUUUUCAUGUGGGAAGGCCUUUUUGACAGCAUAGGUAAACUUUAUACUUAACAAUGGUAUGAAAUACAGUCCUAAAGUUACUCCUGAUAUGCCAGAUAGGCAAAGAAGUUGAUUUCCAACCCUGUGAUUCAUACAUGCAUGUAUAAAUAAAUAAUCAUAUGGUCAAAAAAGGAAAAAUCCAUGACAUAAUGGAAGAAGGAUGUACUAGAGUAGGCUGAGAUAAAUUUACCUUUUAGUAGAAGACCUUGGCUGAAACCGAAAAUGUUUUUCUAGAAAGUUUGCUUUGUUCUUCUUUCGUCCCUGCCUGAAAAAAAAGGUUAUUUCAGAGGAAGUUAUUUUAGAUGAAUGCUGUACUAAACCUUAUUUUUCUCAGAAAUACCAUGACAUUUACUUUAGGAUCCCUUCCUCAAUUCUGUGGUAUUUUUCGUUUCCUUUCUGCAGAUGACCUUCUAUUAUACGUUUCAGACCCCUUGACAAGCAUUCCACUAAUUUUAUCCUUGAUGGAGAAAUUUAGUUCUUCAGUAUGUAAAAUUAACCUUUUUAAGAGUGAAUGUUAUCCUGUUAAUUCAUUAGCUUUAAUACUUAUGCAGUCUGAUAUUCCUUUUAAAUUCAGUCAGUCACUCAGGCUUUAGGUAUUUAGGGAUUAAUGUCAACCGCACCUUACCAUUACUUUAUAGUAAUAAUUGUUCUUCCCUACUCAAUCAGGUUAAGGCAGAUUUCCAGAAAUGGAACUCUCCCAUUAUCACUGAUGAGGAGAAUGCAGUGAAGAUGAACAUCUUGCCCAGAUUUCUUUUUCUAUUUCAGUGUAUUCCUUUUUUCUUAUCCAAGCAAUUUUUUAAAAUCUAUAGAUCAAGUUACUACCUAUUUGUCCAAGAAUAACAAAGUCAUUACUGCAAAAAUUUAAAUCUGAUGGUAAUCAAAUUUUCUUAAUUAUUAUUAUUGGUCAGCCCAUAUUCAUAAACUAACUUAUUUGCUGAAAUCUCCUGAACUGCUUUGGUUUAGGCUAGAGACUCAGUCAUGUGUCUCAUCUUUUCUCAUCUUCACUACCUAUUAUUAUUAUAUAGUCCUAAUUUUACAAGGAGCCCCACUGCCAGUCUUUUUAAAUUUAAUUUAUUGUUCGUUUGCUUAUAAUAUCAUUUUCAUUGCCAUUUAUACAUUUUGUGACAACUCUAUUUAGAACAAUUUGUCUUACUGAUUAACAAAGAGAGAACAUGAUUUAUU